AAAACUCGAUCGAUUGGUUUUCCUUUGUUUAAUGUUAUCUAGAAAACGUUUUCGUAGUGAUCGUAGUAAGCACAAGUUUCAACCAAAACUUUUUGCCUUUCAAACCGACACCUAAAAACAUAAAGCGGCUUCAAAAACCAGGCCUUGCUGCGUUGAGACUGAUUUCCCUAUAAUGUUCCAUCUCUUUUCUCCUUAUACAUCUUUACCAACGGCUUUGACUAUGUCCUUUCUCCACUGAUGCCCUUCGUAUAGGCCGAGCUUAGUGAAAGGAACCCAGCCCAUGCCUUCUUCCUACACCUGAAGGGACCCCGUGUGCCAAUUAUGCCAGAUUUGUGAACCAGACCUUACAAGGGGGUUGACUUACUUGCAGUUAUUAUGGCUGAGGGCUCCGCUGGUGAAGUCUGAUGGUGAUUCAAAGGAUGCUACCCCAAAGAGUCUGGUUUAUGUGCUUACCGGCGGCGUUCUCUGUUUCCUGCAAUACAUCACAAGAGCUGUGUUGCGGUAGGUUUUGUUGAAGCGUGAGUUUCCUUUAAGUGUCUACAAUCUGAACAUCCUCAUGGAGGGUUUAUGCAAGAAUCUGGAAUACGGCAAGACUGUUAUUUUGCUACGAGAGGUAAGGUUGAGUUCUCAGGCGUCGGAUGAUGUUAGCUACAUUACUGUUAUAAGAGGCUUAUGCAAGGGGAAAUAGUUGGAGAAAGCAUUGUAAUUGCCAAAUGAUAUGCAAGGCAUCCACACUAAGCAUUGAUAAUCUUUCUUGCAUCAAGCCAUAAAUUUUGCUGCAAAACAUUGGGGUCUUGAGUGCCUUUUUUGAGAUAACCAGGGGAUAUCAUGCCUCCUAAUGGAGUGACGGUUGCUAAGAAAAUUUGCAUUGCCUAACGUAAAAAUAGAGGCCCUCCCGACACUUGAGUCUGAAGGGGAACACCAAGCCCAUUUCAACAUCGCAGGCAUUAAGAAAAGUUCUGCAAACUCGGUAUCAAAAGCUGCAAAGAUAAAGUAAGCCAAUAUAGCAUCAUAUUUGUAUUAACUAUUUAGUUCACAUGAGAUCAUCAUAAUAAGAUGUCAAGCCAUUCUUCACUGUUAUAUCACAACAUUUAUUUCUUUAAACGAAUAAAUUAAAACAAUUACUUCUUCUAUUAGGUUUUUAUUUCUUUUUAUUUUAUUUAUAUAUGCGACUAAAAGUAGCUCUCACUACUAUGAACUUUUUUUUGGGUCAAAUCUCACUACUAGCUUAACUGGGUAUUUUGUUGUUUCUUGGUGUAUAAGGGCCGGUUGCUCAAGAGAUUAAAAAUGUCCUUAAGAGAUUUGAAGUUGGGAUCUGGUCCUCUGCUUAGAGGUCAAAACAAUGUUCCAAUAGUGGAUUCAAUACAAUAGAGAACAUUGGUAGACUUCUACUCUUCAAUUAUUUCUCAAGUGUUCAGAGGUUCAAAGAGUUCUCUGCUUCAAACACUAUCUCCACUGUGGAUGAACCUUACAAAAGUCUUAGUAAUCUGGUAAAGUGCGCGCUUCAAUCUCUCUUUGAUAAUGUCAUUUAUAUUCGUAUUUCUUCCUCCUAACUUCAAUUGAUCUUGCCGUGCAAUGAAUGCAUGACAAUACAUGAGUGUUUCCAGUGACUUACAGACCUACACACAAAUGACAAUUUUCUUGAUAAUACACGAAAUCUUAACAUUCAUUUGUUGGGGACGAGAAAUUUCGAUCGACGUGAAUCAGCUUUGCAUUCGGAAGUAGAAGCUCUGCGGUGGGCAAUGGAGAACAUGCUUCAACACUCAACUUGCCAGAACUUUGGGACAGACUGCAAGGAGCUGAUAGCAAUGAUAAAGGAUCCUUAUGCCUGGCCUAGCUUUGCGACAGAAUUGGAAAGGGUAGAGACGCUGCUGAUUUGCUUUCCGGAUUUCAACAUCAUUCAUGUUCCACGAGCGCGCAAUCAGUUUUCAGAUUUUUUAGCUAUGACAGCUAGAUCCUUCCA